rnacentral:rRNA from 1 species
AAUGGCCUAACGGCCGAACUGGCAACUUGAAAGAAUGGGAAGUUUGAAAAUAGAAAUAUAAGUAAAAUUUAAUUGAUUAAUCGAAUAAAAUUUUAAAUACAUUGAUAUAAUGACGAUAUGUAUAUACGGUCUUGACAAAAUACGUGCCAGCAGUCGCGGUAAUACGUAUGAGACUAGCGUUAUUCAUCUUAAAUAGGUUUAAAGGGUACUCAAACGGUCAGAUUAUCCUUUAAUAGGUAAUAUUUGUCUAGAGUUUUAUGUAAGAAGACAGUACUUAGAGUGGAGAGAUUAUAUUCUGUGAUACCAAAGGGACUGGCAACGGCGUAGGCAGUCUUUUAUGUAAAAACUGACGUUGAAGGACGAAGGCAUAGAUCGCAAACAGGAUUUGACACCCCAGUAGUCUUUGCAGACAAUGAUGAAUGCCGUAGAUUAGAUGAGAAUUUAGUCUAUCAAUGAAAAUAAAAGCAUUUCACCUCAAGAGUAAUGUGGCAACGCAGGAACUGAAAUCACUAGACCGUUUCUGACACCAGUAGUGAAGUAUGUUAUUUAAUUCGAUGAUCCACGAAAAACCUUACCACGAUUUGCAUAUUACAUUUUAAUGUAAUACAGGUGUUGCACGGCUGUUUUCAGUUAAUGUUGUGAAAUUAUGGUUUUUCCAUGAAUUAACAGAAUCCUUUGCUUUA